rnacentral:lncRNA from 1 species
UAAAUACAAUGCACUUCUAAUUUCUUGCAGUCUGGAUGCCUGGGUGGGGAAAAGUUGUGGUGGUGCUGCUGAUGGAGCUGCAGUAGCACGGAUCAGCAGAGGACCCAACCCAUGCAGAGCAGCAGGAACAUCAGUUCCUCCUGUUUCCUUGUGAAAACUGGUGUGAUUCCUCUUGCUGAUGAAGUGGCAAACCCGUCUUCCAGGAUUCCAGCUGGCAUGGUUUGCCUUCACAUGUUUGUGAACACAAAUGAAUUUAGCACCGAGGGACUUGGACACAGACAACGUUUCACCAGCUUAAAGAUUUAGAUGUCCAGUGAAAGCUAAGCUCAGCCUUUGGCCCCUUCCUAGAGAGCGUGGGAUAAACUGCCAGCUGGGUCUCCCUCUGCCCUCUGUAAAUGGAGCCCAGAGGAGCAGCCUGGCUUCAGCUGUUGUCAUCUGCCUUCACACACGCUUUGUGCUGCUCCCCCUGGUUCCAGAUGGCCAGAGGAAGACAGACAGAUAUCACAGUGCAGGCACCAUGGAGCAGCCCCAGCAGCCUGGAGAAGAGACAAUCCAUUUUUCCCUUUCUGGGAUUAUCCUAUUUUAUGUUUCCUGACUAUGCAGGUAGACUG